rnacentral:rRNA from 1 species
GUUUGAUCCUGGCUCAAAACGAACGCUGGCGGCGUGCUUAACACAUGCAAGUCGAACCUUGCUCGGGCACUCAGGCAACUGAGUGCCGGAGAGUAAAGUGGCGCAGGGGUGAGUAGCGCGUGGGUAACCUACCCCCGAAUCCGGGAUAACCUCGCUAAAGCGUUGCUAAUACCGGAUAUUGUCCUAUUGGUUGUGACCUUUGGGAUGAAAGGCAACCUCUUCAUGAAAGUUGUCGUUCAGGGAUGGGCCCGCGUACCAUUAGCUUGUUGGUGGGGGAACGGCUCACCAAGGCUACGAUGGUUAGGUGGUCUGAAAGGAUGAUCAUCCCCACUGUAACUGAAACUUUGUCCAGACUCCUACGGGAGGCUCCAGUGAGGAAUUUUGCGCAAUGGGGGAAACCCUGACGCAUCAACGCCGCGUGAGUGAAGAAGGCUUUCGGGUCGUAAAGCUCUGUCAAGUGGGAAAAAACUCUGAUGAUUAAUAAUUGUCACAUGGGAUGGUACCACUGGAGGAAGCACCGGCUAACUCCGUGCCAUCUUCCGCGGUAAUACAGAUGGUGCAAGCGUUGUUCGGAAUUACUGGGCGUAMAGGGCGUGCAUGCRGGUUGGUAAGUCAGAUGUGAMASCCCUGGGGCUCAACCCWGKAAGUGCAUUUGAARCUGYSAUCCUAKAGUAUGGCASAGGAGAGUGKAAUUCYCAAUGUMGASGUGAAMUUCGURGAUAUSKRAGSWRCAYSCGUSGCSWAGUCGWCUCUCUGGACCAMUACUGACGCYSAGACRCSCRAGCGUGSGGAGCAAACAGGAUUMGAUACCCURRUAGUCYACGCWGUUMUCRMYGMKACCUAGGUGYAGCGGGUAUUGMACUCUGCUGUGCCGAAGUCAACUCAUGMAGUUCUCGAMGYGGUGAGUACGGYMRCACGGGURAUACUCAAAGGAAUUGRCRURGGCSCGCRCRAGCGGUGGAGCAUSUGGUUUAAUUMGMMGCAAYGSGAAGAWCCUUACCUGGGUGUGACAUCCUAUGACAGUCCCGGAAACGUGAUCUUUCGGAACUGGUAGGAACAGAGUGACAGGUGCUGCAUGCAGGUCGUCAGCUCGUGUAGUGAGAUGUUGGGUUAAGUCCCUCAUCGAGCGUAACCCUUGUCUUUAGUUGCCAGUAUUUCGUUAGGCACUAUUAAGAGACUGCCUCGGUUAACGGGGUGGAAGGUGGGGAUGACGUCAAGUCCUCAUGACCUUCAUACCCAGGGUUACACACAUGGUACAAUGGGUUGUACAAAGGGUAGCUAAUUCGCGAGGAAGCGGCAAUCCCAUAAAGCAGCUCUCACUUCCGAUGGGAGUCCGCAACUGGUCUCCCUGAAGCUUGAAUCGGUUGUAAUCGUGGAUCAGCACGCCACGGGGAAUACGUUCCCGGGCCCAGUACACGCCGCCCGUCACACCACGAAAGUCGACUGUACCAGAAGUUGCUGGGCGAACUCCGUUUACGGGGAGGCAGGUACCUAAGGUACGGCCGGUAAUUGGGGUGAAGUUGUAACAAGGUAGCCC